UAACAGAGAUAGCUUGCUAUUUGCUGACGAGCGGCGGACGGGUGAGUAAUGCUUGGGAAUAUGCCUUUGAGUGGGGGACAACAGUUGGAAACGACUGCUAAUACCGCAUAACGUCUACGGACCAAAGGGGGGGAUGCUUCGGCACCUCUCGCUCAUUGAUUAGCCCAAGUGAGAUUAGCUAGUUGGUAAGGUAAUGGCUUACCAAGGCGACGAUCUCUAGCUGGUUUGAGAGGAUGAUCAGCCACACUGGGACUGAGACACGGCCCAGACUCCUACGGGAGGCAGCAGUGGGGAAUAUUGCACAAUGGGCGAAAGCCUGAUGCAGCCAUGCCGCGUGUGUGAAGAAGGCCUUCGGGUUGUAAAGCACUUUCAGCGAGGAGGAAAGGUUAGUAGUUAAUAGCUGCUAGCUGUGACGUUACUCGCAGAAGAAGCACCGGCUAACUUCGUGCCAGCAGCCGCGGUAAUACGAGGGGUGCAAGCGUUAAUCGGAAUUACUGGGCGUAAAGCGUGCGUAGGUGGUUUGUUAAGCAAGAUGUGAAAGCCCCGGGCUCAACCUGGGAACUGCAUUUUGAACUGGCAAACU
rnacentral:rRNA from 1 species